ACUAAAUAGGAUUCCCCUAGUAGCGGCGAGCGAAAAGGGAAAAGUCCAGCACGUAGAAUCGCAACUGUUAUGGUUGUUGAUUGAUGCCGUGUACAGGUUCGGCCAUUAUCUCAUAUUAUAAUUAGUAUGUUCAAGUCCUUCUUGAAUGAGGCAAUAUACCCACAGAGGGUGAUAGGCCCGUAUAACUGCUAUGAUAUAUGAGAGGUUGUUACCUAGGAGUCGUGUUGCUUGAAAGUGCAGCACUAAGCGGGAGGUAAACUCCUUCUAAGACUAAAUAUUACC
rnacentral:rRNA from 1 species